rnacentral:tRNA from 1 species
GGAGUUGUGGCUCAGCGGUAGAGCAUUCACCUAGCAUGUGUGAGGCACUAGGUUCGAUCCUCAGCACCA